UCAACCAGAAAGCAGGCAUCACCUGGUAAUUAGGUAAAAUGGAGUGCUGUGUUGUUUAUAUAAAUAAAGAUUACAAGCUCAGCUACAAACAAGCCAUAAUCACACAACAUACCGGCCGUCUUCUUGACAUGGCGCCAGGUGUUAUGAGAAGAUUAAAAAAAAAAUCGACUACAACAGGUAAGAGGAAAUGCUAUAACGUCGAGGGAAGGCUGGAGUCAGCCAAGACUGAACACGGGAAUAAUUAAGUUCGGCUGAAAGGCGUUUAAAAAAAAAAUCAGGCAGGUUGCCUGCGCGACGGUUUGACAGUACAGGGACUCAGGAGUCGAGACAAAAUAUGUAUUCAAAACAAACAAACUCCGAGAAGCCAACAUUUGAGGGCCGGUGAUCGCGUUGUCAUGGCAGCGGGGUUCAAUCCCAGAGUGAGCCUCAGGCUGUUUGCAGAGAGAGAGAGAGAGAAAACAACCGCAGUAAAUCUCUUUCGACGGCUUUCCUUGAGGAUAUGAAUUGAAGGUUGUCUUUAAGCAAAGAGGAACUCAUUCAGAUUGGUGAUGCAAAACUUCUGGCCACAGCUGUGCAGUACACAACCCAAGCUGCAGCUGGUGGACGGCCAGGCCUCUUACAUUGGAUGGCGCGGAGUCUGGGUACGAAGGAGGGAGAGCCGGACGCAAGGUCCAGGAAGUUCUUCCUCUUGUCCAUUCCAGGAGACGCCUGCACCGUGAUCUUGUGUUUGAAAUCUGACAAAUCGAGAGAGAAAAAUAAACGACGCAUAAAGAAACUUCAAUGAAA